GAAGACGACGAGGAACAGCUUAAAACAGUGAAGAAGACGACAGAACCAGGAAGAGGGAAAACGAAAAUGAAGAAGAGCUCUGGAUAAGAAUAAGACAGCUUCGGACAAGAGCAGAUACCAAACUGAUGCUGGACUGAUGCUGGACUGAUGCUGGACUGAGACUGGACUGAGACUGGACUCAAAGGAGAAAAAAAAAGGAGAAAAAGCCUCAAAUAAAAGGAUCGGCUGGGCCUCGCAGCGAUGGACAAAGCUGGAAAGCUGGUUUUUCUGGCCACCGAGGGCGACCACCUGCAGUUUACCAGAGAGUGGUUCAAUGCCAACCUGCUGCCUUACUUACGCUAGAGCACGUCUGCAUGCCCAUGGAUUAUUUCAACAUUGUACAUUUUCAUAGCUGCACUUGAUUUAAGAGCAAUAUAAUGGAGGUUAUGGGUAAACUGGAAAACGUGUGCAGACAGCACAUGAUUCCUUCCUUUUGCCCUGAUCACUUCAUGACAGUCGAUUCUUGUUUUGUGAUGCCAUAUUAAUAUGAUCAGGUUGUUAGUAUGUUAGCUUACUCCUGUACUACCACUACUGGGCUGUUAAUGUCAUUUUAAAUGUGAGCUGCUCUGAUGAGGUCAACUGUUGGCAGAAAU
ensembl:lncRNA